UACGGGGGGGGCAAGCGUUGUUCGGAUUUACUGGGCGUAAAGGGUGCGUAGGAGGCGCGGUAAGUCGGGUGUGAAAUUUCGGAGCUUAACUCCGAAACUGCAUUCGAUACUGCCGUGCUUGAGGACUGGAGAGGAGACUGGAAUUUACGGUGUAGCAGUGAAAUGCGUAGAGAUCGUAAGGAAGACCAGUGGCGAAGGCGGGUCUCUGGACAGUUCCUGACACUGAGGCACGAAGGCCAGGGGAGCAAACGGG
rnacentral:rRNA from 1 species